UACGAAGGGGGCUAGCGUUGUUCGGAAUUACUGGGCGUAAAGCGCGCGCAGGCGGCCAUUCAAGUCAGGGGUGAAAGCCCAGAGCUCAACUCUGGAACUGCCCUUGAAACUGUAUGGCUUGAGUAUGAGAGAGGUGAGUGGAAUUCCCAGUGUAGAGGUGAAAUUCGUAGAUAUUGGGAAGAACACCGGUGGCGAAGGCGGCUCACUGGCUCAUUACUGACGCUCAGGCGCGACAGCGUGGGGGAUCAAACAGG
rnacentral:rRNA from 1 species